GUAGUCCAUGCUGUAAACGAUGAAGACUGGCUGUUGGGUCCCUUAGGGCAUUUAGUAGCGAAGCUAACGCGUUAAGUCUUCCGCCUGGGGAGUACGGCCGCAAGGUUAAAACUCGAAGGAAUUGACGGGGGCCCGCACAAGCGGUGGAGCAUGUGGUUUAAUUCGACGCAACGCGAAGAACCUUACCUACCCUUGACAUCCUCGGGAUCUGCUAGAGAUAGUGGAGUGCCUUCGGGAACCGAGAGACAGGUGCUGCAUGGCUGUCGUCAGCUCGUGUCGUGAGAUGUUGGGUUAAGUCCCGUAACGAGCGCAACCCUUGUCCUUAGUUGCCAUCAGGUAAAGCUGGGAACUCUAAGGAGACUGCCGGUGAUAAGCCGGAGGAAGGUGGGGAUGACGUCAAGUCCUCAUGGCCCUUACGGGUAGGGCUACACACGUGCUACAAUGGACGGUACAAAAGGCAGCGAAACCGCGAGGUGAAGCGAAUCUUUUCAAAGCCGUUCGUAGUCCGGAUUGGAGUCUGCAACUCGACUCCAUGAAGUUGGAAUCGCUAGUAAUCGUGGAUCAGAACGCCACGGUGAAUACGUUCCCGGGCCUUGUACACACCGCCCGUCACACCAUGGGAGUGGGUUGCACCAGAAGUAGGUAGGUUAACCGCAAGGAGGCCGCUUACCACGGUGUGGUUCAUGACUGGGGUG
rnacentral:rRNA from 1 species